rnacentral:rRNA from 1 species
GAUGAACGCUGACAGAAUGCUUAACACAUGCCAGUCAACUUGAAUUUGGGUUUUUAACUUAGGUUUGGGUGGCGGACGGGUGAGUAACGCGUAAAGAACUUGCCUCACAGCUAGGGACAACAUUUGGAAACGAAUGCUAAUACCUAAUAUUAUGAUAAUAGGGCAUCCUAUAAUUAUGAAAGCUAUAAGCGCUGUGAGAGAGCUUUGCGUCCCAUUAGCUAGUUGGAGAGGUAACGGCUCACCAAGGCGAUGAUGGGUAGCCGGCCUGAGAGGGUGAUCGGCCACAAGGGGACUGAGACACGGCCCUUACUACUACGGGAGGCAGCAGUGGGGAAUAUUGGACAAUGGACCGAGAGUCUGAUCCAGCAAUUCUGUGUGCACGAUGAAGUUUUUCGGAAUGUAAAGUGCUUUCAGUUGGGAAGAAACAAAUGACGGUACCAACAGAAGAAGUGACGGCUAAAUACGUG